ACAGGUGGUGCAUGGUUGUCGUCAGCUCGUGUCGUGAGAUGUUGGGUUAAGUCCCGCAACGAGCGCAACCCUCGUCGUUAGUUACCAGCAUUUUAGGAUGGGGACUCUAAAGAGACUGCCAGCGAUAAGCCGGAGGAAGGUGGGGAUGACGUCAAAUCAUCAUGCCCCUUAUGACCUGGGCUACACACGUGCUACAAUGGGUGGUACAAAGGGAAGCGAAGCGGUGACGUGGAGCAAAUCCCAAAAAGCCACUCUCAGUUCGGAUUGUAGUCUGCAACUCGACUACAUGAAGUCGGAAUCGCUAGUAAUCGUGGAUCAGCAUGCCACGGUGAAUACGUUCCCGGGUCUUG
rnacentral:rRNA from 1 species